UACGGAGGGUGCGAGCGUUGUCCGGAAUCACUGGGCGUAAAGGGCGCGUAGGCGGCAGGCCAAGCGUGCGGUGAAAGUCCGGGGCUCAACCCCGGAUCUGCCGUGCGGACUGGUUUGCUAGAGCACUGUAGAGGCGAGUGGAAUUCCGGGUGUAGCGGUGGAAUGCGUAGAUAUCUGGAGGAAUACCGGUGGCGAAGGCGGCAUCCUGGACCGACAUUGACGCUGAGGAGCGAAAGCCAGGGGAGCAAACGGG
rnacentral:rRNA from 1 species